CGCACCUUGCGCCCCUUGGUAUUCCGAGGGGCAUGCCUGUUUGAGUGUCAUUAAAUUCUCAAACCUACCUUUUGCUUUGCUGUAAAUCGUAGUGUUUGGAUUGUUGGGGGUUGCUGGCUUGUCACCGAGUCGGCUCCUCUUAAAUGCAUUAGCGGGACUUUGUUGUUGCCUCUGCUACAUGGUGUGAUAAUUAUCUACGCCAGACCGUACGCAAUGAUACUUAUUGGAGUCCAGCUCUCUAAUCGUCUUCGGACAGCUUUUGACCAUUUGACCUCAAAUCAGGUAGGACUACCCGCUGAACUUAA
rnacentral:misc_RNA from 1 species